rnacentral:rRNA from 1 species
AGAACCUUACCAAGUCUUGACAUCCCUCUGACCGUUCCUUAACCGGAACUUUCCUUCGGGACAGAGGAGACAGGUGGUGCAUGGUUGUCGUCAGCUCGUGUCGUGAGAUGUUGGGUUAAGUCCCGCAACGAGCGCAACCCCUGUCCUUAGUAGCCAGCAGUAAGAUGGGCACUCUAGGGAGACAGCCGGGGAUAACCCGGAGGAAGGCGGGGACGACGUCAAAUCAUCAUGCCCCUUAUGAUUUGGGCUACACACGUGCUACAAUGGCGUAAACAAAGGGAAGCGAGCCUGCGAGGGGGAGCGAAUCCCAAAAAUAACGUCCCAGUUCGGACUGCAGUCUGCAACUCGACUGCACGAAGCUGGAAUCGCUAGUAAUCGCAGAUCAGAAUGCUGCGGUGAAUACGUUCCCGGGUCUUGUACACACCG